UAGGGAAUCUUCCGCAAUGGGCGAAAGCCUGACGGAGCAACGCCGCGUGAGUGAUGAAGGGUUUCGGCUCGUAAAACUCUGUUAUUAGGGAAGAACAAAUGUGUAAGUAACUGUGCACAUCUUGACGGUACCUAAUCAGAAAGCCACGGCUAACUACGUGCCAGCAGCCGCGGUAAUACGUAGGUGGCAAGCGUUAUCCGGAAUUAUUGGGCGUAAAGCGCGCGUAGGCGGUUUCUUAAGUCUGAUGUGAAAGCCCACGGCUCAACCGUGGAGGGUCAUUGGAAACUGGGAAACUUGAGUGCAGAAGAGGAAAGUGGAAUUCCAUGUGUAACGGUGAAAUGCGCAGAGAUAUGGAGGAACACCAGUGGCGAAGGCGACUUUCUGGUCUGUAACUGACGCUGAUGUGCGAAAGCGUGGGGAUCAAACAGG
rnacentral:rRNA from 1 species